GUGUGGCUCGGUCAGUAGAUCAUGAGACUCGUAAUCUCAGGGUUGUGGGUUCAAGCCCCACGUUGGGCA